rnacentral:lncRNA from 10 species
GUGAGUGGUGGGAUAACUUCAAACAGCCUACUAUACUAUAGGGAGUUGGAGUCUUCGAAAGAAGAGACAGAUAACACUUUUGAGGAGUUGAUGGCUGAAAACAUUUCCAAUAUGAAGAAAAUUAUAAAACUACAGAUACUGCAAGCAAGACAAACAUGAAGAAGACUUAACUGAGACACAUCAAAAUCAAAUUGCUAGAAACCAGGAACAAAGGCGGGAGGUAGAGCAGGGGAAACCAGGACGUGCCCAACAGCAGGCUUCUCCCUGGAAACCUGGUAGGAGACAGUGGAGCAACGUCUUGAACGUACCAACGGAAAACAACUAGAAAACAACCUAGAUUUCUAAGCCAGUACAAACAGCUCUGAAAAGUUAAGGGGAAAUAAAGACAUUUCCAGAUGCACAAAUAAAAGCAUUUACCACCAGCAGGAUGGCACUAAAGAAAUGGAAAAGGAAAUCCUUGAGGCACAAGAAAAUGACACUAGAUGGAAAUCCGGAACUGUACAAAAGAAUGAAGCACAACGAUAAUGACAGCCAGGUGGUGGUCUGAAGGUGUGUUCACUUUGCAAGAAUUCAAAGGGUUGCAGUGCACUUUGCUGUACACAAAUGCUUCAGUGUAACCAUGACUCCAUACAGCUGGGGCUCCGGAAGCGUCUCCUGUAGAAGGCUGAUCAAUCUUGAAACAGCGGAUAUUACUAACAAGAGAAACAGGGAGGGAACAGGAAUCAUUAAAACCAAAUGUGUGCAAAUUGCUACCUUUAUCCAAGAAAUAAAAAAUACACCUGUUAAACACUCUGUACUUACCAUUUCUUACUGCGUUUAAUG